ACCGCUGGAAGUGUCACACAGGAUCAGGGACCCAGUGCCCGGUCCUGGUAGAAUGAGGACCUUUUUGAUGGAUGUUUAAACUCUUGCUUUCUGCAUCACUUCCCCUAAGGUACGCUUGACAACAUUCAAAUAAGAUGAACUUUUCAAUAUAAAGUUUGUCAAUGAAAAAUCCAGUAAAAUCACCUUGAAAAUAGUUUUAUUUGAGCCGGAAUUUGGAUGUAAACUUGGGUUGAUAGAACUACAGUGGGGAAGGAGAUCUGUUCCAAAGAGCCCAAGUCUUACAAAUGUUUUAUAUCCUCGAGGUGACAGGCGAGAGAGAUGGAACUUCCAAGGGGUUCAUUUACAUAAAACCUGUUAUGCAAAGAAAAGAGGUUGGGGCAGGGAAAUUAAGGGAAAAGGAAAUAUUUUGCUUCUCCUUUAACAGGAAUGCAGAGCAAAUUGCUCAGUCUUUAACUUAAUUAACAGAUGAUUUGGUUAGUGGGGUUUUGGUGUUUUUUUGUUUUGUUUUGUCUUGUUUGGUUUUACAUGGGUGUCCACUUUGAGACUCACAGAUUAAUGGAACCUUCAGUACUUAGAAGUCUUCGGUGCUCCCUAGUAUAAUGGUCAGCUUUUCUUUGUCGCACAAGUUUAUUUUAAAUAAAAUCCAGAUUACUGAACAUCUUUUUCAUUUGUUUUUCUUAGAAGGAGUUGUUGAUUCAAAUGAUUUAGAGUAGAGAGUUUUCCAUGGGAGAGUUUUCUCUGGUUUUUGCUGUUCUUAACUUGGAGUCUCUGGAUGACUUUUAAGGCAUCUGAACUCUUAAAACAGUACAGAGAAUACUGUGUUUGGUGCACUCUGCCGCCACCUUGGCCUCUUCCGUCUGCCCAUCUGGCAGACCCUGAGAGCACAUCCCCACUGCGGGCUGCCAGCGGUCCUCAUGCGCGUGCCAGAGGACCAGCCUACGGGGUGGGGGGGUGCGGUUAAAGGCACACUACUGACAAUAUGUAUCUUACAUGUAUCAGUUAUUCAUUUAUGCUUGUUGAUGGCGCAGCUUUCAGAAUAUUUCUACUUUUUAGAAACAGUUCUUUUGCUUCAAAACAAUGUUAUGCAAUUAUCUGUUAGCAUGUAUGUAAUGUUAAUGUAUACUGAAUUUUCAUAUUCCCGAAAACAAAAGCUUUUUUAAACAUCACAGAACAUCUGGUGCAGUAUGUCCCCCAUUUCCUAGUACAGCUUUCACCUAUUUGCCUCAGGAACAAUAGUUAGGGCACAGUGUGGUCACCUGGCCUACGCCUUUCCAAACCAUUAUCUCUUCCCUCCCUCCUUCUGCACCCCACCACCACCCACCCACACACAUCAGCAGCUUUGACGACAAAGUUCAGAUGCACCCAUACACGAUCCUUUAUGAGUUAAUAGCACUCCAGUUUUCCCCAAGAACAUAUUAUAUUAUAGGUAACCAUAUUACACUUGCAGGAUCUCAAUGUCCUUUUUUGGUGAUGGAGGAAAGAAGGGAGGGAUGGGGGAAGGCAGGCUCGGCACUAAAGGUGAAUUGAAGCUUUCACCUCUGGUAUCAGAAGCUGUUGGCAACCCUUUUCUGGUGGGGAAGAAGUGUGGAAGCGUGCAGGGGUCAGCCUCAGAUGACAGACGGCAGGCCUAGCGCUGAGACGGUAUAAAGGAUGUUGUCAAGGGCAGAACAAGUGAAGGAGUAUUAUAGGGCCCAUACUGGGAAGGCCCCGGCUGGAGAGAAACAACAGACGGCAGAUCGCUGGCAGCCAGCACAAGUAUCACGUGAGGGGCAGCUGCAAGGAAUCAGAGCAGCUGUCCCACUCGGGCAGAGGGAAGGGACUCAACGGUGCAUUUUGGCACAGUGUGAUUUUUUUUUUCCUGAGGUUAAGAAUGGACAGAGGAGAUUCUCAAGAAAUAUUCUUGAAUGGUUUUCUAGAGGCAGAGGGAUUUCCAGGCGCUGUGAGCACCAGGAAUCCAACACACAGAGUCUUGUGAAGAGAAAUGGAAUUCCCUCAUCCACGCUGCAGAGAAAGCAAUAAUGUUGUCAGCAUAACUUGUGUGUCACCAUGGCCAGGGUCCCAGGCUGGGGAGGGGGCAUCUGGGUGGCUUGGCCCUGGCUUGGCCAGCAAGACUGAGCAUCCAUCAUCCAAAGGCAGGACAUUGAAGGAUGUUCUCUGCAUCAAAUUUUCUGAGGCUUCACCUGCCGCUUCACCUGCCACUCCCUCCCACCCCGUCACUUUCUCGACAUCCUCCCAUUCUCUUCUCUGCCUGUCCUACGGUGUCUCACUGAUGCCCAGGGUCACUGUCCAAAAGUACCCAGCCUCAGAGCAAGGCUGAAGUUCACCUUGAGCCCCAUGUGCCAAGCCCUGCUGCAGACUGGAAGAAGGGCGCCUUCUCAGACUUCAGCUGCCCAGACGGAACUCCUGUUCUGACAUUCACGAAGAUUAAACUGUAACAACAAGCCAGAAUUCUCAAGAGCACAUGGAAAUGGGUGUGAGCAGAUACCAGCGGCUUCCUAACCAACAGCCUUCUCUGUGCCCCUCUUUCUUCCAUCAUGGCCAGAUGUCAUGAACUCAAGAACCCCUUCCCAGCCUCAGACAUAAAUCUUAAUUCGUUUAAACCAUUCAUGGUCAUUCCUUUCCCCUUGCCAGUGGCCUCAGCACCUCCUGACACCUGGUCUCCUAGAGUCCAGCCCAGGCACAGUCUGUUCCAGGUAGGCCCUGAGACCCUCGUGGUUCAAAUGGCUCCCCUGAUUCGUGUAUCUUUAAUUCUUCUAAAUCAAUUUAAUCUACCCCAAGCACUCUCACACACCCCUCCCUCCCAGAACCCCGUGGGAGCUUCGGGAGCUCACCAUCAUCAGCCACCGGUUCCCCUGCUGUUCACCACUCAUUCACCCACUGACUUAGGUAAUCCAGCAUGGACCCUUCAGGACAGGUGGUUCUGGGCUUCUGUACAAUUUUCCAGUGCAGGAGUGCUUGGCAAGGCAGGAAGCCCCAGAGCCUAGGGUUCAGGGGGCCCAGGUGCACCUUGGGGCUGGUCUUUUUCAGAGGCUUCAGGUGAUCUCCUUUCGAAGCCAAAAGCAUCACGCUGCUCUCAAGGGCGCCCCCUGUGGGACACUAGUGCAAGCUCUUGCGUGAGCUCGGACUUUAUUAAUAAAGAUCUGUCACGCCUGCUUCACAAAAUUCUCAGGCAAGAACAUACCAAGGGUCGGGCUCCCUGCUUGAAGGGGGGAGGAGAAAACACCAGCAGAACACAUUAACAUCUCAACGGAUUGUCCCUCCACCUUUUCCUAGGAAAUCUGACUUGUUCUGUACCAACUUGCCUUCUAAUGAGAGGGAGGGUCUGGAGACAGCUGUGUGGGGAGUGUUGUUGGGCCAGUUAGUGGAGGGCAUCUUGUUGGCCAGGCCAGCAGGGUCAGAGGGCUGCCUUGGUCCUGAGGGCAGAGGAAGCCACAGUCAUUUAUCUUCACGUGCCAGGAUUUGGGUUUUUGGAUCUCAUAGGAUCACCCUACAUAUGCGUCUGACCCCGAUGCCGAGAGCUGAGAUACAGCAGGCCCACUGGGGGCCACUCUGUGUUCCAGUGGUCCUGAGCCCUGUCGGAGAGCCUGACCUGAAUCGGAAUCUCUCAGGAUCCCGGAGACUGCAUGCACUGGUACAUAGACUAUGGUGAGUGGGUGACCUCAGUAGUUGACAGGAGACUGAUGGGGGACAGCAUCUGAGACAGGUGACAGCUUCUUGGAUGGGAGAUGUAAUCGAGGCUAAAACAUACAAGUAUGUGGGGAGAUGAUGGGUAGAGGAAAAUAAGCUUUGAAAAACAGCCUGUGGCCAAUCACCAAGAACACUGAAGGCUGACAGAAGUGGGUGUAUUUAACUUCCCAUCAAUUUUUAUCAGUUCUAAUGCUCCUAAAAGGCCCUCGUCCGCAGGCCCAGCUCUCACCUUCGCCCCAGGCUUAUAGCUGGUUCUUUUAGUAUUUCCCACCAUACCUCUAUUACAUUUGUAUUGACACUGUGUGAUCUUCUAAUUUUUAAUAACAUUCAUUGAAUUACCACUACAGAUGAGGGUGCCUCUCCUUCCCAUUAUGCAAACAUAUUUCCUACCCUAUGAAAUAGUCACGUUAAAAUUUUAAUUA